UCCAGACUCCUACGGGAGGCAGCAGUGAGGGAUAUUGGUCAAUGGGGGAAACCCUGAACCAGCAACGCCGCGUGAGGGAAGACGGUUUUCGGAUUGUAAACCUCUGUCCUCUGUGAAGAUAAUGACGGUAGCAGAGGAGGAAGCUCCGGCUAACUACGUGCCAGCAGCCGCGGUAAUACGUAGGGUGCAAGCGUUACUCGGAAUCACUGGGCGUAAAGAGCGCGUAGGCGGGAUAGCAAGUCAGAUGUGAAAUCCUAUGGCUUAACCAUAGAACUGCAUUUGAAACUGUUAUUCUAGAGUAUGGGAGAGGUAGGUGGAAUUCUUGGUGUAGGGGUAAAAUCCGUAGAGAUCAAGAGGAAUACUCAUUGCGAAGGCGACCUGCUAGAACAUAACUGACGCUGAUGCGCGAAAGCGUGGGGAGCAAACAGGAUUAGAUACCCCGGUAA
rnacentral:rRNA from 1 species